rnacentral:lncRNA from 1 species
GAAGGCUACUGUAAGUGAGUCGCACAUGGUUUCAGGACCAUGGGGAGCCCCCAACACCAAUGUUAUCUCUUGCUCAGAGUGAAAUUCCUGGCGAUGAAUGCCAAAGGACCUGUGGCUGAGACGCUGUGGUCCAAGGACAUCUACCUGCAGCAAGCCCAGACAUUCCGAGGAGCUCCAGGGUCCCAGAGCAAGGGUACUGUGGUCAUCAUUGCCUUCUCGUCAAUCCUACUGGCCAUCCUGCUUGCGGUCUUCCUCAUGUUGGUCAUAUCUGCUUGUUGCUCGAGCACUUCCGUGUCCAGCCCAGAGGAGCAAGUGCGCAUGCGACGAUAUCACACGCAUCAUGUGGGCAGCCUCCCAGCCGAGCGCAGCUCCUGAGAGUUUCUGAGGGCUUUCUCCGGGGGCCGAGUGGCUGAGCCUGAGCUGGAGUCCACCUGGAACCCAAGGGAAGGGUUUUCAGUUCAAAUCUUGGAAUAGGCAAUCUUUAUCAGAAAUAAAUGUCCGAAAUACC